rnacentral:lncRNA from 1 species
CCAACACUAUUCCUUAAAUAGGGCCAAUUGUCUAAGACAUAUAAGAGGAGACAUUAUCUCAUUUCUUCAAUCGAUAGACAAUAGAACAAAAGAUGUCGACAUUUCUUCUUGAAUUAAAAUAGGGCCGAUUGUCUAAGACAUAUAAGAGGAGACAUUAUCUUAUUCCUUCCACCCAUAGACAAUCAAACAAAAGAUGUCAAUAUUUCUUCUUGAAUUAAAAUAGGGACGAUUGUCCAAGACAUAUAAGAGGAGACACUAUCUCAUUCCUUCAACCGAUAGACAAUCGAAGAAAAGAGGUCGGAAAUUUCUCCUUGAAUUAAAACAGGGCCGAUUGUCCAAGACAUAUAAGAGGAGACAUUAUCUUAUUCCUUCAACUGAUAGACAAUCGAACAAAAGAUGUCGAUAUUUUUCCUUGAAUUAAAAUAGGGUCGAUUGUCCAAGACAUAUAAGAGGAGACAUUAUCUCAUUCCUUCAAUAGUUUAACCGAUAGACAAUCGAACAAAAGAUGUCGACAUUUCUUCUUGAAUUAAAAUAGGGUCGAUUGUCCAAGACAUAUAAGAGGAGACAUUAUCUUAUUCCUUCAACCGUUAGACAAUCGUACAAAAGAUGUCAGACAUUUCUCCUUGAAUUAAAAUAGGGCCGAUUGUCCAAGACAUAUAAGAGGAGACAUUAUCUCAUUCCUACAACCGAUGGACAAUUGAACAAAAGAUGUCGACAUUUCUUCUUGAAUUAAAAUAGGGACGAUUGUCCAAGACAUAUAAGAGGAGACAUUAUCUGAUUAUAUUCCUUCAACAGAUAGACAAUCGAACAAAAGAGGUCGGAAAUUUCUCCUUGAAUUAAAACACGGCCGAUUGUCCAAGACAUAUAAGAGGAGACAUUAUCUUAUUCCUUCAACCGUUAGACAAUCGAACAAAAGAUGUAGACAUUUCUCCUUGAAUUAAAAUAGGGACAAUUGUCCAAGACAUAUAAGAGGAGAUAUUAUCUCAUCCUUCAACCAAUAGACAAUCAAACAAAAAAUUUCAACAUUUCUUCUUUGAAUUAAAAUAGGGCCGAUUGUCCAAGACAUAUACGAGGAGACAUUAUCUCAUUCCUUCAACCGAUAGACAAUCAAACAAAAAAUGUCAACAUUUCUUCCUUGAAUUGAAAACCUAUUACUUAUAUUUUCGAUUGAAGUUUAAGUUAUAUACACUGUAUGUGCUAUUCUUUUUUCUUUUUUUGGAACCCCAAGAUAACCCGCAGCCGCUACAACCUCUUUCAUAAGCACUUUGUGCGCACUGAGUAAACCCCACCAUGUAAUAGUCUGCAAACCACAGUGUGUAUGUGCUAUUCUUUUUGUGCGAUUUUAUGUGGAGAGGCUGUUUGUGAUAUUAUUGAUUCUUUCUCG